UAUUUAAAAAAAUUUCAGUUUUUCGUUAUUUUCAUUACACUGAGCCUGUUGGCACUAUUUUAGCAAUAUAUUUUGGAAGCUCUUCAGGUCAUUAUACACUUUUCCUUACUCCUCCUGAGCAUAUUAUUUCAGGUAACUUGUAGCUUUUGCACUUUUCUUGUUUGAUGAUGGAUAUGUAAUACAAUAAUCUUUUCCUCUGAAGAAUGUGAAAGAAUGGACUGGGAAACAUCAACUGUUGGCAACGAAACUACAGGAUCCCAUGGUGAAGUCUUUUGGAUCCUACAAAGGCUGAACUUGAAUCAGUAUUCAUAAAUCAUGGCAUAUGAUUUGGGGGGGGGGGGGAGUGGGACUGGUCCAAAGGCGAUAGUGAUGCAGUUCAGGUUAUUUGGUUUAGUGCAUGACUGAGGCUGAAGAUUGGAAUACCAGAGAGGCGCUUUAUAUGUGUUUCGGGAUGGCAGAAGCUUUGAUGCAUUUAGCAUUUGUUAAAUGUACAUGCAUAUUCUUUGUAAAUUUAUUCAAAUGAAAACCACACUAAUUAGUGAGGUAAAUACUUAACCUAGGAAAUCCUGCACCUUUUUUGCAAGGACUUGGUGGCCGGGUGCACGCAUAUUUUGGUUACUGAUCUAUCUUAAUUUGUUUUUUCCUUGCACGGUUUCAUAUUGGGGCCCGGAAUUCCUGAAAAAAAGAUUCAGUGGCCAAGUUUUCGCAGAAACUUGCUUCUCCAGGUGGAGUUAGCGCUUCACUAAUUGCUAUUUGUUAUCGAAGCAUUUGUUUUUAAGAUUUUAGACAAACAAUUGGUCU